rnacentral:rRNA from 1 species
AGUGAACGCUGGCGGUAGGCCUAACACAUGCAAGUCGAACGGCAGCACAGUAAGAGCGUGCUCUUCCGGGUGGCGAGUGGCGGACGGGUGAGGUAUACAUCGGACCCUACUCUUUCGUGGGGGAUAACGUAGGGAAACUUACGACAAUACCGCAUACGAUCUACGGGUGUAAGCAGGGGAUCUUCUGAGCUUGCGCGAAUGAAUGAGCCGAUGUCGGAUUUGCUAGUUGGCGGGGUAAAUGCCCACCAAGGCGACGAUCCGUAGCUGGUGUGAGUGAAGGAUAGCCCGCAUGGGAACGGAAACAGGCACAAGACUCCUACGGGAGGGAGCAGAGGGCAAUGUGAGACAAUGGUCGCAAGCCUUAUCCAGCCAUACCGCGUGGGUGAAGAAGGCGUUCGGGUUGUAAAGCCCGUUUGUUGGGAAAGAAAAGCAUCAGGUUAAUACGCCGCUGUUCUGACGGUACCCAAUGAAUAAGCACCGGCUAACUUCGUG